CCUACGGGAGGCUGCAGUGGGGAAUAUUGGGCAAUGGGCGCAAGCCUGACCCAGCAACGCCGCGUGAAGGAAGAAGGCUUUCGGGUUGUAAACUUCUUUUCUGAGGGACGAAGAAAGUGACGGUACCUCAGGAAUAAGCCACGGCUAACUACGUGCCAGCAGCCGCGGUAAUAAGUAGGUGGCAAGCGUUAUCCGGAUUUAUUGGGUGUAAAGGGCGUGGAGGAGGGAAAGCAAGUCAGAUGUGAAAACUCAGGGCUCAACCCUGAGCCUGCAUUUGAAACUGUUUUUCUUGAGUGCUGGGGAGGCAAUCGGAAUUCCGUGUGGAGCGGUGAAAUGCGUAGAUAUACGGAGGAACACCAGUGGCGAAGGCGGUCUGCUGGACAGCAACUGACGCUGAGGCGCGAAAGCGUGGGGAGCAAACAGGAUUAGAUACCCGGGUAGUC
rnacentral:rRNA from 1 species